AUUGAACGCUGGCGGAAUGCUUUACACAUGCAAGUCGAACGAAGCCUCCGGGCUUAGUGGCGGACGGGUGAGUAACACGUGGGAACGUACCUUUUGGUUCGGAAUAACGCAGAGAAAUUUGCGCUAAUACCGAAUGAGCCCUUCGGGGGAAAGAUUUAUCGCCGAAAGAUCGGCCCGCGUUGGAUUAGGUAGUUGGUGUGGUAAAGGCGCACCAAGCCUACGAUCCAUAGCUGGUCUGAGAGGAUGAUCAGCCACACUGGGACUGAGACACGGCCCAGACUCCUACGGGAGGCAGCAGUGGGGAAUCUUGCGCAAUGGGCGAAAGCCUGACGCAGCCAUGCCGCGUGAAUGAUGAAGGUCUUAGGAUUGUAAAAUUCUUUUACCAGGGACGAUAAUGACGGUACCUGGAGAAAAAGCCCCGGCUAACUUCGUGCCAGCCGCCGCAGUAA
rnacentral:rRNA from 1 species